rnacentral:rRNA from 1 species
UACGUAGGGGCUAGCGUUGUCCGGAAUCAUUGGGCGUAAAGAGCGUGUAGGCGGCCCGGUAAGUCCGCUGUGAAAGUCAAAGGCUCAACCUUUGAAUGUCAGCGGAUACUGCCGGGCUAGAGUCCGGAAGAGGCGAGUGGAACUCCUGGUGUAGCGGUGGAAUGCGCAGAUAUCAGGAAGAACACCCGUGGCGAAGGCGGCUCUCUGGGCCUUACCUGACGCUGAGGCGCGAAAGCUAGGGAGCAAACAGG